CCUACGGGGGGCUGCAGUGGGGAAUAUUGGACAAUGGGGGCAACCCUGAUCCAGCCAUGCCGCGUGUGUGAAGAAGGCCCUCGGGUUGUAAAGCACUUUCAGUGAGGAAGAACGCCUGGUGGUUAAUACCCAUCAGGAAAGACAUCACUCACAGAAGAAGCACCGGCUAACUCCGUGCCAGCAGCCGCGGUAAUACGGAGGGUGCGAGCGUUAAUCGGAAUUACUGGGCGUAAAGCGCGCGUAGGUGGCUUGAUAAGCCGGUUGUGAAAGCCCCGGGCUCAACCUGGGAACGGCAUCCGGAACUGUCAAGCUAGAGUGCAGGAGAGGAAAGUAGAAUUCCCGGUGUAGCGGUGAAAUGCGUAGAGAUCGGGAGGAAUACCAGUGGCGAAGGCGGCCUUCUGGACUGACACUGACACUGAGGUGCGAAAGCGUGGGUAGCAAACAGGAUUAGAUACCCUUGUAGUC
rnacentral:rRNA from 1 species